GCUGGGCGUGGUGGUGCACACCUGUAAUCCCAGAUACUCUGGAGGCUGAGGAGGAGGAUUACAAAUUCAAGGCCAGCUUGGGGAAAUUAGUGAGACCCUGCUUCAA
rnacentral:sRNA from 1 species